CUCUUUCCAAGUUAAACCAGAGCCAAAGUUUUACUUCUUCAAUAAUGGAGGACCUAAAAAGCUUGGAUCUUUCAUCUCCACAACCUGAAAAAUACUCCAAUACUCCAAAGAAAUGGAUAUUGCUGUCAGAGCUGUGCAGAUGGCAUGUUCUCUUUGCCAGAAAGUGCAGGACAGUAUGAUUUCUAAAGCCAACAGUCAGGUCCAAGCCAAGG
rnacentral:misc_RNA from 1 species